rnacentral:lncRNA from 1 species
UUCACUCCCGUUGUUUGGCAAGUGGGAGGAAGUGUCACAGCUCUUUUAUUUCUGCCACCCACAGCUUGGUGAGUAGGAGCAUUACAGCUCUUUUGCUCCCACAGUUCAGCAAAUUCUGAGUUCCUGUCCCAUGACCAAGAGGAAUGAGGAACAUGGACACCGGAGAAUGAGUAAGGCAGAGUAGAAUUUUAUUCAUCAGCGAGAGGGGACCUGAAAGCAGGUCGCCAUCUGUGAGGAUUAAAGUUAGGACCAAAUGCUGCUCAGAAAUUGUUUUAAUCUCAAAAGUAGUUGGCAAGUUUUCAGAGUUCAUUUUCAAGGCCUGGUGUAUGCAUUGGUUACAUGAAAACCGUGUGACAACCUUGGAAGUCUGAAAGAGCAGGAGAGAGGCUAAGCACACACAUAUUGUGAUUUUAAGAGUCUCAAGGGCUGACACAAGCUGAGAUGAGGAAAUAUGACCUCCUACACGUGUUUUCCAUGAGGAAUAUGUUUGCUGUGCAGUCACUGAGUUAAAAGCAACCUUCAUUCCCUUGUGCACCAAGGUAGUGCCUCUCCAGAGCUGUAGAUGUCUUCCCAGGAUAUUCCAUCAUUCUACACAGCAUUUAAUUCUUGGAGCUCACAGUCCAAGACUGUUAUCAGUCCAUUUUCACUCUAUUGAUCAAGACAUACUCAAGACUGGGUAAUUUAUAAAGAAA